AGUAAGAUCACCCGCUGAACUUAAGCAUAUCAGUAAGCGGAGGAAAAGAAACUAACUAGGAUUGCCCCAGUAGCGGCGAGUGAACAGGCAAAAGCUCAAAGUGAAAAUCCGUUGCAUAAAGUAAUGGAAUUGUAAUCUAGAGAGGUGUUCGGAGGUGAUCGGGCGUGGAAUAAGUUCCUUGGAACAGGACGUCAUAGAGGGUGAUAACCCCGUAGUCGUCUACGUCACGGACCCAACGAGCAUUUUCGAAGAGUCGGGUUGUUUGGGAUUGCAGCCCUAAAUGGGAGAUAAACUUCUUCUAAAGCUAAAUAUUUAUGGGAAACCGAUAGCGAACAAGUACUGCGAAGGAAAGGUGAAAAGAACUUUGAAAAGAGGGUUAAAAGACUUGAAAUCGUUGAGAAGAAAGUGGUAGAAGAGUAAUCAUUUGUGUACGAUAUUCGGGUUGCUUGGAGGAUUGGUAAGGCUUUAGUACUUCAUAGGCUGUGCUUUGCUAAAUCUGACUCGCUGCUUGUUAUUCGUAUGCAAGAGGCAAAAUGAGGUUAGUCGUCAGGAGUCGUCUAUUUAGAAGACCCUCGUGCUUGCAUGGGGAGCUAGGUAGAAAAACUGAAGACUAGUCUGAGGGGCCUGCGGGCGAUUUUGCCAAAGUGGCUUCUACUGUCCCGUCUUGUAACACGGACCAAGGAGUCUAUCCAGUAUGCGAGUGUUAGGGU
rnacentral:rRNA from 1 species